rnacentral:rRNA from 1 species
UUGUACAGGAAGAAACACUCCCUCGUGAGGGAGCUUGACGGUACUGUAAGAAUAAGGAUCGGCUAACUCCGUGCCAGCAGCCGCGGUAAUACGGAGGAUCCAAGCGUUAUCCGGAAUCAUUGGGUUUAAAGGGUCCGUAGGCGGGUUAAUAAGUCAGUGGUGAAAGCCCAUCGCUCAACGAUGGAACGGCCAUUGAUACUGUUAGUCUUGAAUUAUUAGGAAGUAACUAGAAUAUGUAGUGUAGCGGUGAAAUGCUUAGAGACUACAUGGAAUACCAAUUGCGAAGGCAGGUUGCUACCAAUAUAUUGACGCUGAUGGACGAAAGCGUGGGGAGCGAACAGGAUUAGAUACCCUGGUAGUCCACGCCGUAAACGAUGGAUACUAGCUGUUCGGAGCAAUCUGAGUGGCUAAGCGAAAGUGAUAAGUAUCCCACCUGGGGAGUACGUUCGCAAGAAUGAAACUCAAAGGAAUUGACGG